UUUCGACACUGAACGAAGCAGUAACGUCGGAACGAGAAGUUGAAAUUAGCAUUUAAACGAAAUUUCAUUUAAAAUUAAUUUUGACCUUAAGAGUAUUCCUCUUUAUUAGGAAAUCCUUUUCAGGUAGGAGCUUUGACAAUAUACAAGUUAAAUACCGAUUUUUGGCAUUCAAAGAAUACCAAAGAUAGCAAACAUGAUAAAAUCAAUUUUUUGCUAGAUUUGGUGAAUAAUACUUAUGUAAAGGGAAGCCUGCUGUUAGAUAUGCUUCACAUACAAUUAAAGGGCUAAAUUUUACACGUUUGGGGAAAUUGAACAUAAUAUCACUGACUACCGGAGAUAUCCACGAAAGAUACACAGUAAUAGGGAUAGAUCAUACUAAAAAUAAAGCUUCCAAAAACAAAAGAAUUAAUUAACUGUAAUACUAAUUAAGGAGAUUUUUCAUUAAGGCUUCCUACUUAAACAAAGUGAUAAGAAGGAGACAGACUCGGCUGCUCAGGAAAAAGAUUUAAAGGCUGUGAACAAAAUGCAUGCUUAGGGUCGUAGUAAUACCCCUGUAUAUAUCCAUUUUCUCUACAUAAACAGCAGAAAUAAAAGCCAGUUAUUCUCGAUUCGGAUGUGUCUGUCUGGUCUUUUAAAAUUAGCAUGUCCUUCCAUCGCAUAAAAAUGUACUUUUGACAAAUCUUAUACAACUUCUUCGGAUUAGUAAUGGUUUCAAGAAAGGUAUUGGUAUCCAUAUUUUGAAAAGGAGCAAGCUUUCGCCAAUAGCAAACGUCGAUUUCUAAAGGGGCACUCCAUUUUUCAGUAGCAAAAUUUAAUUUCUCUGAAAAAUCAAGAAUCUCCCCAGUCCAAGCAGUUGAAAUGGUCGAAGAUGGGUCAGAAGAUCGAGCUUGAGCAUUCAACUGGCCCUCUAAAGCUCUCCGUUUAUAGUCCACCACAUGGAUUGAAACGUCUACAAUCCACCUCUCCUUGGGAUUUGUUAAAGGAGGUAAUCCAGAUAUUGAUUGGACUCCCCCAAAUUGUAAGCCUCGAAAAACAGAGCCACUACGAAGCCACCAAGUGGGUGUAAUGAAAAGACGACGCUUUGCAUAAUGACGGAUCAUGUAAUACGUACAAACUUUUUUGUGUUUAUGAAAAACUAUAUUUAAAGAGCACGACCUAGCGUUUGGAGUUUGUGUCCGAGAUCCAUAGCUACUUGCAGAAGAACUUGAUUCUUGAUUCGGAGGCCCGUUGAGGUCUAAGACAGCAGGGUUAUUAUCCAAAGAAUUAAGGAUAUUUUGAUAAGUAGAAUUAGGAAAGUAAGUAUUAAAAGUGGAUGCGCCAGCGCUGUCGUGGGAGGGAUUUAAGGGUGAAUUGGACCUCCGUAAAUGUUCAAUUAAAGGAUUGAAUUGUGGAGUCGAAGCAGCUUGAAAAUUAUAAUUUGACUGAUCGAAAGAAGAUGGAAAACUCAGUGACUGAGGAUUUGAAAUACUAAUAGACCUAGAAGGAGGAAGUGGUGGUUGGAUAGGAAAAGACGAAGUUGGAGGUUCAACACUAGGCUCUGUCGGUUGGGCAGAAAAAACACUAUUCGGGUUAGAACCAAAUGUCGAGGAAUUCCGAUCCAGUAACUCGCUGUUUUGUAAAUAACGAUUCAAUCGUAAAACACGUCCGACUAAUCGUUCGGUAUGAGGUGAAAAGAAUGAGGGAAUGGAGGCUUCAUCAUAAUUAUUUUCUCUAAUGGUCUCCAACCAAUCUGAAAGACUUCUUCGUGAGUAUCUAGUAGCGUUACUCCGUGAAAGGCCGCUUCUUCUCCUUUGACGGGAAGCCGAUCUAGAAUGAAAAGAAGAAUGAACUUGAGGAUGAAAAAUAUUGUCAUUAUUGUUUGAAGGGUUUGGUAAAGGUAUGUGUAAAGGAUCAUGAGUAAAUGAAAUGGAAGAAUCUUGUUCACUCAGCUCGGAACGAAUACGCGCUAAUGGAAACAUAUGACGGUGAUGGUUGCGUUGGGAAUUAGAUACGUCGUUUGAAUUUGGGUUUGGGAAUCCGGAACCAGAAUCUGCCCAAGCGCCUUGCUCAUUUGGGUGGCUUGAGUCUUCAUUUUGGAAAUUGUCUAGCGAUCGAGGCAUCAAUAAGUAUAUACGCCAAGAAAAUCUUAGUAUUUGAAGUGUGCGCCAAAAAUUAUGAUAAAAGAGUUAAAUUAAAAGUAAAACGAAUAGAGUUCACUUUAUAGGUACAAGGUAUUUUAGACUUCGUAUUGGAAUGGCAAUAAAUAAACACAACCCUUUUAUAAUAAACGAGAUCUCACAACACAACAAACGGCCUUCACUAGGAAAACAUAAGAAUUGUAAAGUCAAACUAUAUAUGACUACAAUUGAGAGGAAAUCCUAUACAACUAAUGCGAGAUAGCUUCGCGUUUUUUUUAUCACCACAAUUUUCUUUCAGCGUUAACAGGA
rnacentral:lncRNA from 1 species